rnacentral:misc_RNA from 1 species
GAUGAAGAACGUAGCGAAAGGCGAUAAGUAAUGUGAAUUGCAGAAUUCAGUGAAUCAUCGAAUCUUUGAACGCACAUUGCGCCCGCCAGUAUUCUGGCGGGCAUGCCUGUUCGAGCGUCAUUACAACCCUCAGGCCCCCGGGCCUGGCGUUGGGGAUCGGCGGAGCCCCCCGUGGGCACACGCCGUCCCCCAAAUGCAGUGGCGGUCCCGCCGCAGCUUCCAUCGCGUAGUAGCUAACACCUCGCGACUGGAGAGCGGCGCGGCCACGCCGUAAAACACCCAACUCUUCUGAAGUUGACCUCGAAUCAGGUAGGAAUACCCGCUGAACUUAAGCAUAUCAAUAAGCGGAGGA